UAGGGUGACCAACUGUCUUGGUUUCCCUGGGACUGAGGGGGUUUCCGGGAUAAGGGACUUUCAGUUUUAAAACCUGGACAGUC
rnacentral:miRNA from 1 species